rnacentral:rRNA from 1 species
UGCGUAGGCGGCCGCUUAAGUAGGGUGUGAAAUGUCCCGGCUCAACCGGGGAAUGGCGCUCUAAACUGGGUGGCUCGAGUGAGAUAGAGGUGUGCGGAACUUCCGGUGGAGCGGUGAAAUGUGUUGAUAUCAAGAGGAACACCGAUGGCGAAGGCAGCUCUCUGGUCCGUUUCUGACGCUGAGGUGCGAAAGCUAGGGUAGCGAACG